GCAGCGCGCUGUUAGACACAUCUUUCUUUCUUUUCGAAAUCGAUCUACCGACUGCAGAACAAUGGCGUGGAGUUUCCCUCGGUCAUCGUGCUAUCUGCUACUAAUUAAUGAGAUUCUUUAUUUGACAUUCCAAAUCCAGGGUGUGUCACGGCCAAAUGCACAGAUCUGUGGGCAGUUUUGCUGAUCUCCUACGCCUUCAGAUCCGAAGGUCUAUCCAGGUGAAUAAAUAACUAAUUUCGCAUUUGGAUUAGAUUAGAUGUCUAAUGCUCACCCUCUCGGACAUGUAUAUGUCAUUCAUGGGACCUGUGAUUUCUUAAAUGGUUGCAUUUGUUCUAUUAUUGUAUUUUUUGAUCGGAGUUGGAACUCCACAAGAUAAUUUUUACUCUUUACUAUUUAUCAUAGAUAAUUAUCGUACAGAAAAUAUCUGACAUAGCUUACUGUUCUGAAGGGAAAAAAAUAAAUUGAUUUGUGUUGUUCUUUUUCCGAGCAUUGCUUCAUAUACCAGAUCGUCCCAUCAAGUUGAACCGGCAAAACAGCAGGAGCAAGUCGAUCAUGCUCCUUGUUCUAUAGCACAUUGGAAGAGGUGUUGGGCACCAACAAACACAUCAUUCUUGUAGUACAAGAUGUAGUUAGGCAAGAAGGUAAUGAUUUAUGACCUGUAGAGAGGAAAUAAGGUGAUGAUUUAUGACCUGCUGCUUUUUAAUGCAUGCUUAUGCACUAAUUCAAGUUUAUCUAGUCCUUGAUUUUUCUUAAAAAAAUAUUUCAUUGGUGCAGUUAAUAAUAUCUCAUUUUCGAAUAACAAGUAUUUUUUGGCGAAUCUUAAAGACUAUGUGGCACAAAAGGCAAACCUACAAGAAGUAAACCGAACGAACCUGGUAUUAAUUGUAUGACUUAUGAUCGAUAGAUUGAAUAUUACUGCACACAGAAUCCCUUGUUUCUGCUUCAUGGUGCUUCCGGUACAUGUUUCUCUUAUUACCAGCAAAGAGAUGUAUAUAGUUUUUGUAGCUAUCCUGCAGCUAAUGGAAAAAAGACAGGUCGGUCAACAUUUUCGUUUAUAUUUGUGUCCCAUUUUCGUUUAUGUUAGUAUGUCAAGCUUUUCCUACUAUGGUAAAAUCUUCCUAUUUGUUUAGCAGUAGCAUUUGUACUUAGUAGUAGAUUUUAUACAUGAUGUGUAGUUAGCUAGUUCAACUAGUCUCUAGCUGAUGGAAAGCAGGUUCAGUCAACCAUAGAUUUUAUACUAUGUAAUGUUGAAAUAUACUGUAGUCCAUAUUCUACUAUUUUAGUGUAUUUAACAUUCUACUAUUUUAGUGUGUUAGUGGUACACUUUGCUGCAGAAUGAAGAAGAAUGAGGAAGAACACAGCGCACCAAGAUUAUAAGUUCAAAGACAAUUGAAUAGUGAGAUCCUAUGGUUGAUGUUGUGCUCGCGCCAAGAAGCUUUUUUCAACGGAAGACUAGAAAUAGCAACAUAUGUAGUGUUUAUCGAUGGAAUGAAGAAUGUAAUAUAUUUGUGAGAGUGCCUUCCAAAUAAUUUAAACGUAAUGCAUGAUACAUUAGUGAUGUCACACUUUAUUUUCUCUGUUA